rnacentral:rRNA from 1 species
UACGUAGGGUGCGAGCGUUGUCCGGAUUUAUUGGGCGUAAAGAGCUCGUAGGCGGCCUGUCGCGUCUGCUGUGAAAUCCCGGGGCUCAACCCCGGGCGUGCAGUGGAUACGGGCUGGCUGGAGGCAGGCAGGGGAGAACGGAAUUCCCGGUGUAGCGGUGAAAUGCGCAGAUAUCGGGAGGAACACCGGUGGCGAAGGCGGUUCUCUGGGCCUGUACUGACGCUGAGGAGCGAAAGCGUGGGGAGCGAACAGG